UACGAAGGGGGCUAGCGUUGCUCGGAAUUACUGGGCGUAAAGGGCGCGUAGGCGGAUGUCUAAGUUGGGGGUGAAAUCCCGGGGCUCAACCUCGGAACAGCCUUCAAUACUGGAUAUCUUGAGUUCGGGAGAGGUGAGUGGAAUGCCGAGUGUAGAGGUGAAAUUCGUAGAUAUUCGGCGGAACACCAGUGGCGAAGGCGGCGACCUGGUCCUUGACUGACGCUGAGGCGCGAAAGCGUGGGGAGCAAACAGG
rnacentral:rRNA from 1 species